rnacentral:lncRNA from 1 species
CCCCCUUACCCGGAAGCGGGUGUCGGGAGCACAGGGCCUCUCGGUGAGUGCUGUCCUGGGCACUUCUCGCGCUCCUCGGCCCCGCCCCACCCCUUCCUUCACACCAGGGCCCGAGUCCCUGCCGACGUCACAGACCCGCUCUCGCGCCGCUGGCCCGGGGCUCCCUGACACUCGCGAAGCCGGGAGCUCCGCUGCCAGGUUCGAGUCGCAUCCGUUUCCGGAUCCGAGGCCAUCCUGGUCCGACCUUCCGGCCUAUGGUCUCUUCACGGGGUCCCGCCCCGUGUCAGGUCCCCACUCGCAACGUGCGCUCUCGCCCUCUGUGCCUCUCGGGGCCGCACGGGACUCCGCGCCCUCCGGCGGCUCCAGGAAUCCGCAGACCCCCGUCUUCUCCAGAAGCGGCCCGGCCCCGCCGCUCGCUCCCCUCGGCGGUCACCGCCUCACACACCUGUCCCAGGGAGAUGUUGGUGUUCAUGGAUUUGUAAAGAAUUGACUUGUCUGCAGAUACUGAGUGUUCCUCCUCUUUGGUUAUUUUGGCUAUGUCCUCAUCCCAAAUCAAAACUGAGACAAAAAUCAACUUUUCGGAUGUUUCUCAUUUUUUAUGUGAAAUAUUGCAUAUGAUUUUUGGAGGGUAUACUUGAUUUACAAUUUUGUUUUAUAUGUACAGCAAAUUGGUUCAGUUAUACAUAUAUAUACACGUUAUUUUUCAGAUUCUGCAUAUGACUUUUAAAUUUGAGUUGCACCACAUUUCUGCAGUCACAGAUUUUUUUUGUCACCAUGUCCUCUAGUCUAAGAAUUUGGUUUGGCAGACUUUGUUCAUGUCACAUUUAUGUCCUUAAAAAGUUUUAAAAUUUCUUUGCAUGAGUUUGCAAAUUUAUUUGAAGUUAGAGUCAUAAUAUUUGGCUAUUAUAC